rnacentral:lncRNA from 15 species
AUGUAUCUGUGGAAACACAGAGGAUUGGAUCCUGCCCUUAAAAAGCAUUACAGCGAACAUGUCACUUUAUUCAGUGACAUAAAGACGGACGAGAUUAUCCAGAGACUGGCAAAAAUCCUGACAGUACCUGGAACUGUAGCUGAGAAGCAGCUCUACAUAACAGAGGUCGUUUUGCCAGAGGUGUUGAUUCAGUGGUUGCAAGGCAACAGCAACAUGUGUCGGUACCAAGCAGAAUCUGUGCUUGUAACCACCACACCUUCAAAGGAAAAGAAAGGAGCCCCCAGUGCAAGGAAGACAGCUGAUAAAACAGACAGCACAGAAGAGGAAAACAUUCUCAUCCAAGGCAGCCUUGCUGCAGCUGACUGGUGCCGUACGGCGACAUUCGAUGGAGUGCUGAAACUCCCUGCUGUCCUUUCCAUGGACAAAGAGGAAAGAAAAGAAGCCCUCCAGGAGUUGGAAACCUGGGAUGGGGACCUGGAUGAGGGUUCUCCAGCUGAACUUUUCUCAUUUGUCUUCACACAAAAAAAGGAUUACGACAAGUUCUGUGGAGAACUUAUUGAUAAAAAAAAUUACAAACUUUUCGUAAGAUUUGAGGAGCAGUGAUGUAGUUUUAUGUUAUGUUAUAUUAAAGAGUUUUGUUCGUAAAUACAGCCUAUUCAUUCAUACCAAGACCUUUGUACAUGGUUUUAAAUUAGAAUCCUGUGAUGCACAGAUACAUAUAAAUAUCACAUAUAGUAAGCUAUAAAUGUUUAGGGUUAGAAGUCAACAAUUUUUGAUAGGUCAUGUGUUACAACAACUUGUUUAAAGAAAGGGACAGCUGCCACAGGGGGUCAGUGGCAAUUGCCACAAACAGUGGCAGGUGCUUGGCCAAGUGUAGGCCUAUAGCCUAAAUAUUGUUCCCCUCAUGUAAUCAUGCUUUAAACUGCAGCCUUUUAAUUGAGUGAGUAAAGUAUUUUGUCAUUUCACAUUGCAUUUUAAAUUAAAAAAAACAUAGGCUACCACCAAUUUCUUUCCUCAGCACUGCAACAUAACAGACUGUAAUAUAAAUCAAAUAUUGUAAAAAUCAAAGAAACCUUGAGAAAAAAAUGCACAAAUAAAUGCUACCAAGUCUAAUAUUGCCAAGUGGUAACAUUUAGAAACUAUUAAUGUCGGUAUCUCACUAGCAGAUACUACAAACAGUCGGUGAUUUCAGACACAGCCCUUGUUUGCCACCGUUAUACUGCAUAAACGGCGAAAGAUGCCGUAGCAUCUCACGGUGAACCGCGGCAGAUGCCGCGGCAUCUCAACCUGCCACUGGAAAUGCCACUGCUAACAGCGGCAGGUGCCGCGGCAUCCUAGAUUACCACUGGAAUGCCACAUAAACGGCGAAAGAUGCCGCGGCAUCUCAACCUGCCACCGGAAAUGCCACUGCGAGCUGCCGAUGCCACUAUUUGAGCUAGCUGUCUCUCGAAAUGUGCUGCUGGGGCUUCUCUUUAGUGGGCGCUGUAGAGCCAUUUCUCCACACACAUGUGCAAGAACCACAUGGCACGUUUUCACCACCUGACGUGUGUGCCAUGUUUUAUGAGUUAUAGAAUUAAUUUGUCCUAAUAAUCAGUUAUUGACUUCCUCUUGUAGAAGCUCUUUAGAGACAAUCCCUAAUUUCACAGCGUCACACCUGAUGGACAGGUAACCAUAACCCUAACAGCACCUGGAUACUUUAUUGCAGUGAGCCUCUACUGGCAGCCUGCGGGCCACAUCCGGCCCGCCAGAGAUUUCCAUCUGGCCCGCCAGAAUAUUUCUGAAUUCAGGAAUAGCCUAGUGAAGAGGAAAAAUGUUUCUAGAUUUAUUUAUUUUUAAAUCAAAUGAAAGAAACGCCCUCUGUUGUUGCUGUGCACCUGUCUGUCUGUCCGUCUCUCGCUCUCUCUCUCUCUCUCUCUCUCUCUCUCUCUCACCCAAACUGGUCGAGACAGACGACCACCCACCUGGAGCCGGAGGAUCUGUCCUAGGUUUCUGCCUUUUAACAGGCAGUCUCUGAAAUUAAUGUUAUAAAGAGUUCGGUCUAGACCUGCUCUAUUUGAAAAGUGUCCUGAGAUAACUUCUGUUAUGAAUUGGCGCUAUACAAAUAAAACUGAAUUGAAAAUUGAAUUGAAUUGAAAGGUAGCUUGUGCUAUAGCCUGCCUUCAAUCAAAAAUGACGAUAAACAUCUUUUAUUGUUUCAUAUGCUAAUUUUAUCUGUAGUCAUUUUUCACAAAUGUCAAAAUUGUCCUUGCUCAGAUUAUAUUCUUUAGCGACAGCGACAGUUUCGCUGCAAAUGAGGCACAUAGGUACAGCAUUUCUAAAAGUUGGCACUAUGAAUACAUACUUAUCAGUCCAUUUUUCAUUGAAGCUGCGGUUCUCUGAAUCAACUUUCCGCUUAAGGCUUUUCAAGAGUGCCAUUUUUCAUCCUUGAAACAUAUUCAGAAGGCCUUUCUCCUGCCAGUGUUCUCCACAAACUACGACACUGCAUGUGACAGUGAUCGACAGCUUGACAGCCUCACAAAUGUCAAGCCUAAAACAUCGCUAUCGCCCCCUAGUGGCUUGCUGUAGUACAGGUAAUAUGAGUCUGUUAACACUGACAGAGGCUAUAUCAAAUAAUAACACAUUACUUAGGAUAUAAUACUAAUUUUAUUCUAUUUUAUGAGCAUCUGGCCCUCACAGUGUCUGCACAGAAAACUUCUGGCCCCACAAAUGUAGUUCAUGACCCCUGCUUUAUUGUUUACAUUCUGUCACAUGUGCGUCAUCGAGUGUCGCUGCCAGCACUUCACACUGUAACCAUGGCGACACUCUACAAACACCAAGAUACUCUGACAAUCUUUGAUAUGGUUUUAAGCAGCUGUAUUCACUGUGUGGAGGCGGAGCAGCUUCAGUUUGAUCAGUGCGACCGUGAGGACAGCAUGGACAGACUACAG